rnacentral:lncRNA from 1 species
UCUUCUUUUUAUAUUAGUGUUUCUGGCUCCAAAAAAAAAAAUCUCAAGUAUGUAACUGAAAUUCACUCACCACCUGUCCCUUCUCAACUUGCUCACUUGAGGGUUUGGGUAAUGGAUCUAACCCAUUUUCAAACAAUGAAAAAGCAGCUCUCCCACCCCAGGCUGCUCCAGCGCUGCUGUGAAGCAGUACUGCAGCUGUAACACAGCCACAACAAACACGAAGUUCAGCGCGCCUGUUUCACAUGUUCUUUAAUUUCAAACAGAGGGAUUUUGGUUGUGUUUGUUUCUCAGUUACUUUAUACAGAAAACAGAACUCAGGAUAUGGCAUUUCAGGACAUCAUGUAGAGCAAGAGAAGUAUAGUUUCAAAAACUUAGAAUACUACAGUUAAGUCACUGCUGUGCUUGAGAAUUAAGGAGGUGUUCUGAUGAAGAGAUGAAAAUGUCAUACACAUUUGCUAAAGGGAUGACAGUUUUCUUUCAUUAGGCAACUGCAACACCAAGUAUCUCGAGACAUUAACAAUCCAUUCUUGUGUAUGUAAAUAUACACAAUGUAAAUAUGCUGACUGCUAAGUCAAGAUUACAAUUAGAAUUGCAAUUUUACAUGUGCAGUGAAUAGGAACUCUGUAUAGUUUACUGGUGAGAAGAAACUCUAGCCAUUUGCAAAAUGAGGUUCCAACUUUAUCCCCGACAGCAUUUCAGGACAAGAAAGUCACAUGGAAUACCACCAUCAAGCUAUUACAAUCCUGUAUUUUCAGAAAAUUACAUUCUGGUACAUCAAACCCUCUCAGUGUGACACACAUGGUAUUAUCUUGCUCUUCAAUCCCUAAGGCUAUUCAACACUAACUUGAAGCUGGGUGCUUGGCUUGCAUAUGCAACUGUUGCAGUUGGGCAGUCACAGCAGACAAAUGCCAAUGCAGAGCAAUAGUUAUGAUCAUUCAUGCAUGGAAUAUACGCUUUAAGAUGUGGAUAACUACAUAAAAAUAGUAGAAACCAUUCUGCACUCAUUUCCCAGUAUGAGGCUUCAAGACAUUUUAGGUAUCUGUUUAUACCAAAUUUGGCCAGAGAGUGCAGACAGAAGUGAACAGCUCCAUAAAAUGAAGACUACAUAAGCAGCUUCUACCAGAUCCUACAAAAAUUCAUGGUAAGUGUAUAUGCAACUGGGCAUCUUAAAAUAAGAGUAAGGACAACAAUUAGAUUAAGGAAUAUCUUGAUUUCUACUAUCAUGUAUCAGUUACAGUUUUCUAAGCUCUGGUGUUGUGCAAGGAUACCAGACAAUCUUAUUUAGAAACUCUAUGUUUCAUGUGUAACUUCUGAAGAUACACAAUGCCCUCAGAAUAAUUCACUUUUUGUGAAUACUUCAUGAAAACAUUUGCUCUGGUGUCACGGUGUAAGGAACAACUUACAAAGGAUCCAGGUGGCUUUACAACAUCCAUCCAGUAUGGUUUUGUAGUCUAUCUACAGACAGGCUUUUUAGGAACUUCACAAGAAAAAACAUCCUUAGAUUUCUUCCUGCUGUGUACGAAAGAAGUAUCUGGUUGAUCAGAUAGGUACUAAGGAUUCCACUCUUAAGUCAUUUUAUUUUAAGCUCAGAAAAAGCAAAGCAUUACCCUGACAAUUCAGUGCUACUGUCUGGUCACCUGUUGUCAGAAAUGGUGAGGAAAGACCUCAGAAUUUUGUUAAGUUCUGGAAGAUGAGCAGUUAAUUUAGCAGUCUUGUUUAGGACUGAUAGUGGGGGUCAGUCCAACUGCAGGCUACAGCUGUUGCCAACAGAUCCUUAACUACAGUCCUCUGCUGGUCUCCUUGAUUACACGUUUGUAAGGCAUCUAGCAAAGCAUGAGAGCAUUUUCUGAGACCUCUUUAUAACCCUGGAGUGCAAACAACAGGGACUACUUUGCUCACAAAUGAUUUAAAGUUCCAAGCUAUCACAGAUCACUAAGUGACUACUGAACAGGGGAAGGAAAAUGGACAUUCUGCUGGCUUUCCCCUUCAGCUGGGAGCUGCCUGUGCCAGCCAAGUCCACUGUGGUAGCGAACAGUGUGUGUAAAAUUGCCCUGCAACAUUAUUACAGAUACACUCACAAGAGGCCAGUUCAAAGCUUCAAUCCUCCCCCUUUACCCUGCAUACAGCCUUCUUUUUAAAAACAAACCAACUUUUUGGAGGCAGUUUUUCAGCAGAACAAAGGGCUCUCAAAGGAGUUAAUAUCUUUUUGUUUAAAGCAAAUUAGGGAUUCAGCUUUUCUGAUAACACAUUUUAGUGAUAUCAAUAUAUUUACAGCCUCUUAAAAAAUACUGGAUAGCUCCGACUCCCUUCAGUAAAGGUUCCCUCAAAUACAUUCUUCAAAGCCAUCGAAACUAAUUUUGCAACAUCACUUACAACCUUAUCUUUCUGAAAAUGUUCUUUUAAAGUGUUUCAUAUAAAAGUUCUCUUUAGCUUCUACUGCCCAGAAAGCAUCUUUUUCUUGAUCAGUUGUGCCCAAUUUGUCAUACUGAACUCGCUGGUUCGUUCUUUCCAGCUCAUCUCCCAUCUCCUCUGCCCUUUACAGGCAUACUUGAAUAGCUUUGUCACUUCCAUCCUGAGCAGACAAGGCACUCGCAUUUUAAAAUGCUGAAGAUACCCCUCUCAUUUCAGCUGAAUCUUCUGGAGGUACUGCCAGAGUUGUGUUCAUAAGCUGAACACACCAGUGAAGAUUAUUUUCCUCC